AAGAGGACGUUGCCCUUCGGGGUAUACCUCCCACCCUUUGUUUAUUAUACCUUUGUUGCUUUGGCGGGCCCGUCCUCGGACCACCGGCUUCUGCUGGUCAGUGCCCGCCAGAGGACCUAAAACUCUGUUUGUUAAUAUUGUCUGAGUACUAUAUAAUAGUUA
rnacentral:misc_RNA from 1 species